rnacentral:ncRNA from 3 species
GGUCAUUUAGAUAGAACAUGUUUCAUCUCAGUGCGCCUACUCCCUUAGUCCCAAAAUAAAUUAAUCUUAUACAAGAUUUGGCACAUCAUAGUACUACGAAUCUGGAUAUACUAGGAUGUGUCACAUUCCGUACGAGGUUGGUUUAUUUUGGGACGGAGGGAGGGAGUAUCUCGGAUGCCUACCGCAGUAUCUCAUGACC